UGGGGAAUUUUGGACAAUGGGCGAAAGCCUGAUCCAGCAAUGCCGCGUGUGUGAAGAAGGCCUUCGGGUUGUAAAGCACUUUUGUCCGGAAAGAAAUCCUUGGCUCUAAUACAGUCGGGGGAUGACGGUACCGGAAGAAUAAGCACCGGCUAACUACGUGCCAGCAGCCGCGGUAAUACGUAGGGUGCAAGCGUUAAUCGGAAUUACUGGGCGUAAAGCGUGCGCAGGCGGUUUGCUAAGACCGAUGUGAAAUCCCCGGGCUCAACCUGGGAACUGCAUUGGUGACUGGCAGGCUAGAGUAUGGCAGAGGGGGGUAGAAUUCCACGUGUAGCAGUGAAAUGCGUAGAGAUGUGGAGGAAUACCGAUGGCGAAGGCAGCCCCCUGGGCCAAUACUGACGCUCAUACACGAAAGCGUGGGGAGCAAACAGGAUUAGAUACCCUGGUAGUCCACGCCCUAAACGAUGUCAACUAGUUGUUGGGGAUUCAUUUUCCUUAGUAACGUAGCUAACGCGUGAAGUUGACCGCCUGGGGAGUACGGUCGCAAGAUUAAAACUCAAAUGAAUUGACGGGGUCAUAGCUGUUUCCU
rnacentral:rRNA from 1 species